rnacentral:rRNA from 1 species
UACGUAGGUGGCGAGCGUUGUCCGGAAUUACUGGGCGUAAAGGGUGCGUAGGCGGAAUCUUAAGUCAGAUGUGAAAACCCAGGGCUUAACUUUGGGAUUGCAUUUGAAACUGAGGUUCUAGAGUGCAGGAGAGGGAAGCGGAAUUCCUAGUGUAGCGGUGAAAUGCGUAGAUAUUAGGAAGAACACCAGUGGCGAAGGCGGCUUUCUGGACUGUAACUGACGCUGAGGCACGAAAGCGUGGGGAGCAAACAGG